rnacentral:rRNA from 1 species
GACGAACGCUGGCGGCGUGCUUAACACAUGCAAGUCGAACGAAGUGGCGAACGGGUGAGUAAUACGUGGGUAACCUGCCCUCCUUUUUGGGAUAAGCCUUGGAAACGGGGUCUAAUACCGAAUAAAGGGGGAUGUGCUCGCGGCCUAUCAGCUUGUUGGUGGGGUGAUGGCCUACCAAGGCGGUGACGGGUAGCCGGCCUGAUAGGGUGACCGGCCACAGUGGGACGGAGAUACGGCCCAGACGCCUACGGGAGGCGGCAGUUGGGGUAAUUGCACAAUGGGCGAAAGCCUCAUGCAGCGACACCGCGUGGGGGAUGAAGGUUUUCGGGUUGUAAACCUCUUUCGCAAUCGAACUGUUAGGGGGAGAAGAAGCGCCGGCUAAAUACGUGCCAGCAGCCGCGGUAAUAC